AGUGACCUAACCUGUCGGUGGGUCAGUUCAAAGGAGGUUUAUUAGAUCGAGAAAGAGUAAACGGUAUUAAUCGGAAAGAGUGAACAGAAAAGUAAACCGGUGCUUGGAGAGCUGGCCAGAAAAGUACAUGUUGACAAGAGUACAAUGAGUAAACCCUAGUUUCUAGCCACCAUAUGUGUGUGUAAAUGUUCAGAACCCCUUUUUUGCUGGUCCUCCUCUUCCUUAUAUAGAUUACCUCCCUCUCACAUUUCCUUAGGUCGUCUUGCCCUAAUGGGCUUGAUCUCGAUCGGGCUGAGCAAUUGGGCUUUCGAGCCAAGCUGAUGUUCUUUCUUCGAUGAGUCGAUCGAAGCAGUCCUAAGCCGGGCUUGCGCAUUUGAUCAGGGACUGCUGAGCUGAGCUGGUGUCUUGGGCCGGCUUGGUGGGAAAAACCUUCUAUUUUAUGCGUCUUGUUGAGGAAUGCAAUCCAUCUCCUACAAUAAGCCCCCCUUAGUUCACUUUUGAGAGAUGUCGUCGUUUAGACCUAAUGAUAAGUCACGUUCCUACGAGGUUACCUUGGAGAGGGUAAGAGUCCAGACCACUUAUAUUUCGAAGUGUAUGCGUUGUUUUGUGAACAUUCGGGGGCAUAUGGCUCGUCGAGAUGCCUAUGAGGAUAAGCAUAUCCUCUACAGUCAACCUGCCAGAAAGCUACGUUGCAUGGAAUCAGAAGCGGAUACGUGGAAGCGGAAGCGUUUGGAAACGUAGAAGCGAAUUUUUUAAAAUAUUUAGGAAGCGGAUACGUUUUGGAAGCGUUUAUAUAUAUACAUAUAUAUAUAUAUAUAUAUAAUUUAUGUAUAGUUUUUAAAAUCAUGUAAAAUAUUAAUAUUGAAUAACUUAAUAAAAAGAUGAAUUUAUUAUGUUCAAGAUCAAAUAUUUAUUAUGUUCAAGAGCAAAUAUAUAUAUUUUUAUCUUCAUUUU
rnacentral:lncRNA from 1 species